ensembl:lncRNA
UGCAGCUUCUGCAGUAAUGCGGUCGAUGUAUCGGUCUGUCUUGGUGAAGAAAGAGCUGAGCCGCAAGGCGAAGCUCUCGAUUUACCGGUCAAUCUACGUUCCUACUCUCACCUAUGGUCAUGAGCUUUGGGUCAUGACCGAACGGACAAGAUCCCGGAUACAGGCGGCCGAAAAGAGCUUUCUCCGCAGGGGGGCUGGGCGAUCCCUUAGGGUGAGAAGCUCGGUCACCCGGGAGGAGCUCAGAGUAGAGCCGCUGCUCCUCCACAUCGAGAGGAGUCAGCUGAGGUGGCUUGGGCAUCUGUUCUGGAUGCCUCCUGAACGCCUUCCUGGGAAGGUGUUCCGGGCCCGUCCCACUGGGAGGAGACCCCGGGGAAGACCUAGGACACGCUGGAGGGACUAUGUCUCCCGGCUGGCCUGGGAACGCCUCGGUGUCCCCCCGGAAGAGCUAGAGGAAGUGUCUAGGGAGAGGGAAGUCUGGGAAUCUGGGCCCCGGAUAAUCGGAAGAUGGAUGGAUGGAUUUUAUUGCCAGCAGAGUUCAACCCAAUUUCACAAAGGGCACUACAGAGAGAAAACAACAAACCAGUGACUCCACCCCCGAAUGGCAUUGGAGGGAGGGCAUCCCAGUGGCGAUGAGAGCCCACCUGACAAGACAGCAAGGGUGGAAAGCAUCAAGCCUUUCCGGUCACCUUCACACCCCUGGGUGUUAUGCAUGCAGGUACCCUGUAUGUGCGUUUGUGUUUUUCUCACUUCUGCCGUUUCCCCAGGAGUCCUUUAUGUUCCUGAUUGUGCUCGUUGGUGUUUCCCACCUGGCAGUCAUGAGUGCAUCGCCUGACUGCUGAGGUGAGCCAAUCAGUGGACACCCCUCCUAAUUGCACCACCUGUUCCUUUUUCCAUUAGCCAAUCGCAUCACACAUCCCUGGUUUAAAAACACAGUCAGUUGGUUCUCCCAGACUCUGGCUUUACCCUACAUGGACAUAGACGCUGUUGAGAUACAUGCCAUUUUUGAUAGACAGCCACUGUUCAUUCAUACAUCACUUAGUUUAGCACAUACACCUCACUUUGUCCUGUUUCAUGUGAGUAUGUAUUGCUGUGGUGUUUUGUUUGGUGUUGUCUAGUCAAUUGUUUGCUGUUUAGUCCUUGUUCAACCUGUGUGUUUUGUUUGUCCCUGUGUCCCUGGGAAAGUCACCCUCGGGCACACACAACCUGUAGGAAAACUUUGUCUCAAAACACUACUUAGAACUGAGCAGACCACCCAAUGUAUUUUUCGUAUUGGUUAGUAGUAGUAAAUGUAGGGUAUAAUGUGCCAGAAUGGGGAUUUAUGAGGGUUCCAUAUUAACCCCCUGAGGACGGAUUAGGUGCUACCGCCCACGACUGAGGCAUAUUUGCAUAAGAAUUACAAAGUAUCACAUAUUUUCAAAACGGUUUGUGAUGGAGAGAUACUUUUUUCUUUGCUGUCUUCCUAAGAGUCCGCUGAAAAUGCUGAUGCGCUCUGUUUUUCUGGCACAUUUCCUGGUUUUCGUCAUCCAUUCAUCCAAUGUAACCAAAACCUAAGGUGCACCUGACCAAUGAAAGGGCUACUGAUUUUCGAAAUGCAAUGCUCCAUCGACA